rnacentral:lncRNA from 1 species
CAGAUAUAUUCAGCAAUGUUCUUUUCACUAUAUAUUUUGUUUAACUCUAUGGAUUAAUCAUUAAAAAUGUACUGUCCCACUAUGAUUGGCCAGAUGUGCCACAUGACAACAGUAUUCUUCUGUGAGCAUCUGAGGAUGCCAGCACUUCUGGAGUAGUCCUUAUGCAUGCAAAAUUGAAAAUUCAGUUUUGACAAAUAUUUGCAAGUGCAUCUUUAGAAUUCACUUGCUGCCAAGAAAACUGUCAGUAAAAUUCAGCAGUUCUUAAAUUUGUAAAAUGUGAGAACUAAAACAUGCAUUUUAACAUUUGCAUUUAACUUAAUUAAUUUUUUUCCCCCAGUUUUAUCUGGAACUUUUAGAAGAAUGUAUCUCCCCUUAAAGGCUGCAGUGCUGCCCACUCUGAUGGAGUUACAUUUCCAAGCUACUGCUCCUGCUGUCGCACAGCUCUCCAGCUAUCUGCUUUCCUAAAGGAUGGCCUUUUUCUAAAUGGGCAAAUGCUUCAUGAAUUGUAUGGAAGCUUUCAAAAGUCAGGAGGUUUGCCCUGAUGGAUGAUACGUGCAUUGUUCCUGCAUUAAACAUUCCCUCAAUUAUUGAACUGUUCCUGUUGCACUGUUAGGAAAAAAAUGGAUUUGAGAACAACUCACUGAAUGCAUCCAUGAUGAUGAACGGUGCAAAGAACCACAGAUGUGGAAAAGAAGUUCCUGUGGUGGCCCAUUUCCUAGCAAGGUACAGUCCUAUUGCUCCUCAUCUCUUUCCAUUUCUCAUGCUUAAUUUAGUUUUCAUUGGAUCGUUGUUGGUGUUUUUUUAAUAUUUAUUACUCAUGGUUGAAACAUGUCAAACUUGACAAAACUUUAAGCAGAGGGAAGGAUAAAAAGUGUCUUGAAAAUCCUAUUUGCCCCUUAAUAAUUUAAUUCUGCAGAAAGGGAAAUCAAAGCAUCACAAAUUGAUUGCUAUGAAACAAAUUACAAUUAUUUCCACACAUCCAAAUAAAUGUACUAAUUUUAGGCA